CCGUGCAAAGGUAGCACAAUCACUUGUCUCCUAAAUCGAGACCUGUAUGAAUGGCAUCACGAGGAUUCAACUGUCUCCCCUCACCAAUCAGUGAAACUAAUCUCCCUGUGAAAAAGCAGGGCUACUUAUACAAGACGAGAAGACCCUAUGGAGCUUUAAACCACUAACACUUGCUCUACUUCCCAUAACCAUUUAGCAUCGUACUUACACGUUUUCGGUUGGGGCGACCCUGGAGAAAAACCUAACCUCCAUGCUGUUAAAUAUAUGAACCUCAAUUCUACAAUCAACAUAUUGACACAAUUGACCCAAACAUUUGAUCAACGAACCAAGUUACCCUAGGGAUAACAGCGCCAUCCACUUCAAGAGUACAUAUCUACAAGUGGGCUUACGACCCCGAUG
rnacentral:rRNA from 1 species